AGCGUUUGACAUGGUAGGACGGUUUCCAGAGAUGGAUUCCUUCCCUUACGGGACCUACACACAGGUGCUGCAUGGCUGUCGUCAGCUCGUGUCGUGAGAUGUUGGGUUAAGUCCCGCAACGAGCGCAACCCUCGUCUUUAGUUGCCACCAUUUAGUUGGGCACUCUAAAGAAACUGCCGGUGAUAAGCCGGAGGAAGGUGGGGAUGACGUCUUCUACG
rnacentral:misc_RNA from 1 species